CCUACGGGAGGCAGCAGUGGGGAAUAUUGCACAAUGGGGGAAACCCUGAUGCAGCGACGCCGCGUGAGUGAAGAAGUAUUUCGGUAUGUAAAGCUCUAUCAGCAGGAACGAGACAAGACGGUACCUGACUAAGAAGCCCCGGCUAACUACGUGCCAGCAGCCGCGGUAAUACGUAGGGGGCAAGCGUUAUCCGGAAGCACUGGGUGUACAGGGAGCGUAGACGGCUGAGCAAGCCUGAAGUGAAAGGCGGGGGCCCAACCCCCGGACUGCUUUGGGAACUGUACGGCUGGAGUGCAGGAGAGGUAAGUGGAAUUCCUAGUGUAGCGGUGAAAUGCGUAGAUAGUAGGAGGAACACCAGUGGCGAAGGCGGCUUACUGGACUGUAACUGACGUUGAGGCUCGAAAGCGUGGGGAGCAAACAGGAUUAGAUACCCCAGUAGUC
rnacentral:rRNA from 1 species